AGGCCUGGAAGAGUUCUCCUCUCACCUCCCCCCCAGCCCACCUCUGUCUCUUUGGAAUGGCCGCCCCGGGAAAGUGAUCACAGCUCUUGGGACAGGAAGUGGUUCCCUCCCACACAGGAAACUGUGGACUGCAGCUGGUCCAGUGCCUGGUGGGGAAUUUAGUGCUGGCAUCGGCAGUGUGUGGGGUGCUGAGAGCAGAGUGAGCCCAAAGACCCCAUAGGCAAACCAGCUCUUACUGGCUUCCUGGCCCGUGGUCAGACCACUACAUUGCUGGCUCCUUAUUUCUGUCAGUUCCAAAGACGGCGGGAAAGGACGCAAGGGUGUGACCAUCUUCCCAGACCCCACGGUGUCAGGAGAAUGCUAAACUAUAAGGAAGAAUGAGAAAAAGACAUGGAAACUGAGUCAGAUAUUGAAGCAAAUUAAAAGAAGUCACUCCACAGAGCUCUACUGUAAAAUAGAUCGGAGAUAAAGACUCAACCUGGUUUUCCAAGAUGAUGACAGUGGAUUAGAGACACACAUAAUCAGGAGGAGGCCACCCCAGCUGACUAACUUGCAGAUUUGAAGAUAUAAUGGCACCGCCUCCAGUCUCUGAUGACUUAAAUGAAUCUCACCUUCUGAUGACUGAAGGAAAAUGUGUUCCUGAGUGCGAAGAAUGGUCCAAUUUUCAUUACCUCCCAGAGGCAGAGCCUGCGAAGACGCUGAGCUGGGCUGCACAAUUCACCGACAGAGCAGAGCUUUCAGGGGCUCCACGGCACCCGUCCUCACCUAGGAAAAGCCCUGCACUCAGCCCAUGCUCGGAGUCACGCUCCGCCGUGUCCCGGUCCGGUAACGCAGGGCAGCCUGGAUCUCUUGCUUUCUUAUGACCCCAUCCCCAAAUACACCCUCUCAGCUCUAUUGGAACAAACCCAAAGUGCGGUAUCAUCAGUUCUAAACCGAAGGCCUGUUUCCUGACUUUCUAUGGAGAACUGUGUGACUUUGUAAUUAGGAAAAAGGCACAAUUUUUGCUUUUAACUGACAAGUGGUAAUUGUGUAUAUUUGUGAGGUACAGUGUGAUGGCUGCACGUACACACGCAUUACAGAAGGAUCCAGUCAAGACAGUUAUCAUAGCCAGACCUUGCAUUCACACCUUCCUGUGGUCUGUGGUGAAGAAUCUAUUUUGGCAGUGUGGGAAUGGACGAGGCACUGUUAGCUGUGGUCACCACAAAGAGCAGAGCGCUGGACUCACUGCCCAGCCUGCCUCGGACCCUGCCCGAGUGACCACACCUGCUGUCCCCACCUCUCCCUCCUGGGGCCUGUGUGCAGCACCUUUCUGUUCUCCCUUUCCAUGAGGCCCACAUAUAAGAGAGACUAUGUACUACAGUGGAGCCUCGAGUUAUGACUGACCCGACAUACGAACAACCUGGGUCAUGACUGGAAUCUUAGUUUUAACUUAUGACCAGAGUCAUGAGUUAUGACCCAGAUGGUCUCAGAUACAGAUUUAACCCCUAAAGAGUCCUGGAAGGAACAUGACAACAUCCUUACCUGUGUGGGGUUGAGAAAUCCUGGCCCAGUGUCUCUCUAAGGACACUGGGAUCUGCCAGGAGACAGACUCUGAAGGCUGUGUAGAGGAGCCUGAGGCUUCACCGAUGAACUUGAGUCACAACCAGUCCUCGGGAACAAAUUGAGUUUGUAAGUCAAGGGUCCACAGUAUUUGUCUUUCUGCUCCUGGCUGACUUCACUUAGUGUAACGCCCAA
rnacentral:lncRNA from 1 species